rnacentral:tRNA from 1 species
CCUCACAUGGUCUAGUGGUUAGGAUUCCUGGCUUUCACCCAGGCGGCCCGGGUUCGAUUUCCGGUGUAGGAA